UACAGAGGUGGCUAGCGUUGUUCGGAAUUACUGGGCGUAAAGGGCGCGUAGGCGGCUUGGUCAGUCCCGUGUGAAAUCCCUCGGCUCAACUGAGGAACUGCACGGGAAACUGCCUGGCUUGAGUUCGGGAGAGGGAAGCGGAAUUCCGGGUGUAGCGGUGAAAUGCGCAGAUAUCGGAAGGAACAUCAGUGGCGAAAGCGGCUUCCUGGCCCAAUACUGACACUCAUGUGCGAAAGCGUGGGGAGC
rnacentral:rRNA from 1 species